GACGAACGCUGGCGGCGUGCUUAACACAUGCAAGUCGAGGGCAUGCAGCAAUGCAUGACCGGCGAACGGGUGCGUAACACGUGAGCGACCUUCCGUCUUCUGGGGGAUAGCCGGCCCAACGGCCGGGUAAUACCGCAUACGCUCAUCGGGGGGCGAUCCCUUGAUGAGGAAACUUCCGGGGGAGGACGAGGGGCUCGCGGCCUAUCAGCGUAGUUGGGGGGUAACGGCCUCCCAAGGCGACGACGGGUAGCUGGUCUGAGAGGAUGGCCAGCCACAUUGGGACUGAGAGACGGCCCCAGACUCCUACGGGAGGCAGCAGGUGGGGAAUCUUGCGCAAUGGCCGAAAAGGCUGACGCAGCGACGCCGCGUGUGGGAGGAAGCU
rnacentral:rRNA from 1 species